UCUUGCAGAUGCAAAUCUGAUCUGUUGAUGAUAAUUUGUUGUUGUGUAAAGGUUUGAUAGCAACUCGGAAUGGAAAUUAAAAUAAGGAUUUUCUGGGAAAUUAUCGGAUUCUUUUAUUCAGCUGCCCUAUAUAUUCCAAAGUAUUGAAAACAAAAUAAAACAAAACCUAUACCGUAUAGCUAUAAACAAAAUGAAAAAUAUAUGAAAAAACCUUCGGAUUUGGAGAAUCUGUUAAUUUGGAGGUUAAUAUAAUUGAUUUUCAACCAUGAAGUUUUUCUAAUGAAAAACUAGCCCCCCACAUUUACCUCUGUUGCCUUCUAGGUUAGUGACAUCUACACUUCAUCAUCAAGAUUCCACCCACAAGAGAAGUCCUUCCUGAAUAUCACUAUAUUCAU
rnacentral:lncRNA from 1 species